AAAGUCCGCCGGUUGUAGUGGCCCUUGAUGAUCCCUGUGUUGAUGUUCUCAUUGAGCAACUGCUUCUGCCUUUGCCUGUUGAGGGACUGGACAAGGCCCAGGACGACCGCGGCCAGUGAGUACUGCCCGGGCAGUCUUCUCGGGGGCAGGAUGAACGGGUUGGGUUGGACUCUUCCCAGGAGAAAGUACGUUUUGAUUUUCCCUUCCUGCUCACUGAUGCCCUUCACGUAGAUCUCCCCUCGGUAGUCGAAGGCAAAGCCCUGGUCCUUCAGGAUGAGAUAGGUCUCCUCGGGGACUUGGAUCCUGCCGCUGACCCCUGUGCUGUCCAUCCGGCUCGCCAGGUUCACAGUCUUGCCCCAAAUGUCAUAUUGUGGCUUCUUAGCGCCGAUGACCCCAGCUACCACGGAGCCGUGACUGAUGCCUGCGAGCGAGCAAAGGAGCGAGAGGUGUUUAGUUGGAAAGUCAACAAAGGAAGGAUGAGAAGAAGGGAUGAGGAUUCCUUCUUCCCAGGAACUUAGACUCAUAUGCACGUAGCAUUUAUUGAGCACCUACUGGGUGUAUUGAGCACCUACUGGGUGUAGAGAGCGUAAUGCUGUUGCGUCCACUAACGCUGCAAGGUGACAGGCCCGACACGGCCAUGUAGGUGCUGCCGAUGGUCUUAAUCUUUUCAAUGUCCUGAAACCGGUCUUCGCCUAGCAGCUGAAAUAGAUCCAAGCAACCACGUUAGCUCUGGAGUUUAUUCUUCCAGAAGACAGGGGCUUCCUGAAACACGCUCCCGGCUCACACAAAGGACGACCUCUGCCUGGUUUAGCAGCCUUGAGGACGCUACCUUUCUCCCUGUGGAUCAUGCAUUUGGGCAAUCAACAUGUUUACUGAGCACCCGGCAGGUGGCAGGUGCCGGGAUGGGUGUGACCAGACACCCUUUAAGGAGUAGCUCGGUUUCGAUGAAUCUUUGAAAAUGAACGCUUACUUUAUUACUUCAAAGAAGAAAUCCCAACUGUUCCCCAGAGCAUCAACAAAUUUUGGCUACACCUUCCACAUGGAUUUGGAGUCUUAACUCUUGUCUGUCAGCAUCCUGGCCUGAGCCACUGUUGGCUUCCACCCGGUGGUUGUAUCAGAAUAAUGUACCUGCUUGCUCUCUGCCUCACCCCCCCUCACCCCCAGCAUGGCAGCCAGAGUGAUCCCAUUCAAGGGGAAGUCAGAUCAUGUCCCCACUCUGUGCAAAACCUUCCUGUGGCUUCCCAUUCCACUGCCUGCAGAAGAUGUCCAGGUCUUAAUUCUUGGAACCCAGAGUAUCUUACCUUCCAGAGCAGAAAGGACUUUGCAGAUGUGAUGAAGUUAACGAUCCUGAGGUGGGGAGAUUCCCUAGACUAGCUGGGUGCGCUCCAAGUAAUCGCAAACGUCCUCAUAAGUGAAAGGAGGAGGCGGGAAAGUUGGAGAAGGCAAUGUGAUAUCAGGCAGGGGCGGAAGUCACAGCAGGGUGACCACGGGCUCUAAAGACGGGGGAAGGAGCCACCAGCCAAGAAAUGCAGGUGGCCUUUAGUAGCCAGAAUGAAACAGAGUUUCCCCUACAGCCUCCAGAAGGAACACAGCCGUGCUGACACUUUGAUUUAACCCUGUGACAUCCAUUUUGGGCUUCUGACCUCCAAACUGUAACAUCGUAAGUUUCUGUUGUCUUGAGUCACUAAAUUUGUGGUGGUUUGUUACAGCAGCAGAAGUAAACUAAUACAGGAAGUAUCCACUGAGCUUCUGCAACGUCUCAUGAAUAGGACAGGAGGUCCCAGCCAUCCGAGGGCUGACAGCCCAGGCAGGGUGUGUGUGUGUGACAUGUUAAAUAAACCAUCACACAAAACGUGCCCUGCCUCAAUUCCAGUAAAGUACAUGAUGGAAACAUACAGGAUGCAGGAACAAGGAGAGAGGAGCAUUUUGAUGAAAUCUGGAGGGGCUGGGAAGGCUCCCCUGAGCAAGUGACUUCUAGCUUCACUUCUAAAGAGUGAGGAAGGGUGUUUUAGUGGUGGGUGCAUGGGUUUGGGUGCCGGGAGGCUGGGGGGCGCGGAAAGGGUUGAGAGGGGCGUCCGGACAGAGGGGACGGCACGAAAGAGGCCUGGAGGUUGGGGAAGAUGCGUGGUAGGUUCAAGGAAGUCAGGAGAGGGCUGUGGUUAUUUUUCCCAUCUUAGAGAAAGUCUUCCGGGACACCACAUUUCUUUCCACCUGUCUCCUUCCUUUUGCUGUAAAAAUUUGCAGAGUUCUCUCUACUCACUGCCUCCAACUUCUUCCCCAUCAUUUUCUAAAUCCCCCAGAACCACCUUGACACUGACAUUGCUCUUGUCCAGGCCUCCGACAACCCCUCCCAUUGUCUGGCCUCACUUGGCCCACUGUCUGGAUCUUACCCGGUUGAUUGCCACACCUCUCCCACGUGGUUUCUGCCCACUCAUGGCUUUACUUCCACUCCACUGGCAACUCCUCAGCGUCCUUUGCUAGUCCCUUCUUAUCUUCCUUAUCUCACAGUGUUGGGGGCCCCGGGGCUCAGGCCUCAGACUUCUUCUUUUUUUCUGUCAUCAUGGUUCAUGGGGUUUCAACACAAUCUCUCUGCCCAAGAUUCCUAAAUGCAUGUGUCCUUCCUUGACCAUCAGACUCUUCUGCACAAAACUGCUGUGACAUCCCCAUUACAGUCCUCAAAGGCAUCGCCAACCUGCCAUUCCCAAAGCUACACCCUUGGUCCUCUCUACCCACCUGCCACCUUGAUUAAUGGCAUCUCCACUGUUUAGUUGUUCUGGGUAAAAACAUCAUAACCCACAUCUGAUCUUCCAGAAAAUCCUUAGCCCCAUCUUCAAAGCUAUCCAGAUUCUGUGUCUCACUCCCUCCGCAGAAAAGGUAGGUUCAAAACUCAAACCUUCUUGGCUCCCAGGGCUAAGUUCUAGCCUCCUCUUCCUCCACGUGGGUGGGUAUCUAAAUGUAACUUCUGGUUUUCCAACUCUCUGUCUCCCUUAAAGACUGUGAUGUCCUUCGGGGCUCAUGCUGUGCUGGGGCUGGGCAGACAGGUGGGCCAGACCAAGAAGAGAAGAUGGGUUUUCCAUAUGCAUCUUGCUACAGGCAUCCUGUCAAAAUGAUUCUGGAGCUAAGAAAACGUGAAAAAUUCCAGCUGGAGAGAAAUUCUUCAGAGAAACAAGGGAAACACGGGCAGGUGCUUUUGAGAUUUGCUUUGGGGUGUGUGUGUGUGUGUGUGUGUGCGUGCGUGUGUGUGUGUUUGUGUUGCCUGAUUCACAGCUGAGGCAGCCUUUGUUUGUUAUUUUUGUUUCUUGAGCCAUUGAGUGAAGCCCCUCUUCUGCCCUGGCUGAGAUCGCACAAACCGCGUCCAGGGAAGGCUGAGUGUCCUCAGCCUGGGAUCACGUCUGACACUUGCCCUCAGACACUACACUGAGGUUUGGUCUCAGCAUCCCUUCGGCCGUUAAAGUGUUAGUUCGGGAUCUAAGACAUGUCUUUGGUGGCCCACCUCUGUCCUUCUGCCUCCGUACAGCUGCAUUUCCCCAGCUUUCUGCGGGGAGGGGGGACUCUUCCUCUCUGCGCUUGGAAGUACCUGGCCAAGGGCCAAUUUCAGGCCCAGGCAAUGCUGCGUCCUCUCAGAAGUGGAUCAGAAGGCAGCAAGCGGCUUCAUUAUUUUCAUUUAGUGUCCACACAGCUAAUCGAUCCACCAUAGAGCUAAAAGCGUCUGGGGGCAUAACGCGGUUCCUAAUCAGCCCCUUUAUUAAUUCACUAGUCCGCACAGAGUGCUGAAACGUGGGAGCGCCCUUCAGCUUUCGAGGAAGCAGGGGCCCUGGGGUGAGGAGUCUUGAACCCAGUCUUGGCGCAUGUGCUCCCUGCGGUGUUCUGCUUUCCUCGAGCCCCGAGGGAAUUUUGCAGGCUCUCAGGUUCCCGUGGUGGUCUUAUCAGCCGGAGCAGCAUUGUUACUAAAGGCAGCACCAGGGCAUCUGGCUGGAGCUUCGCCAGGGCAGAAUGCAGAGGGUCUCUUCUGACACAGAAGGCACGUGCGGGUGGCCCGAGGGGUUGGCAAGCCAGAGAACGUUCCUGCUGACCACAUGCUCUUCCCUCUUCCUCCUCCUCUUGCCGUCUCUUCUUUCCGUUUCUCCUUCUCUGCUCUGCUCUCCUAUCUCCUCUCACCUCCCUGCCAGCUCCUCCUCCCUCUCCUCCUCCUCCUGCUCUAAAGCCCAGCUCCUGGACCAAUCCCGCCCCCACCCCCCUUCUCCUAGCCUCCCCAACCUCCCUCUGCAAAAACACGCCACUACCACUAGGGGCGCUGUCUGUUUUUCCUAAGACUCCUGGGGUCUACAAACUGGGGCACUGAGAUGCAAAUUUAGUUGAAAUUUACGCAUUACAGUUGAAAAACUUGCUUGUGAGCACUUUGGAGGGAUGGAGGGUGCUACAGCGUUUAAAAUAAAACAAAGCCUGAUGGCUCAACCUUCGGUCAGAUUAUUUUUAAUACAGCUAUUUUAACUUCUUUUUUUUAAUUUGAAGAUAUGUUUUGGAUUGCCCUAGUUUCUUUUCACCUUGCUAUUUGUCUGCUGAUUUUUGUCCCCCAUUAAUUAAUUAAUUGAUUGGUUGAUCCCAUUAGCAAAUACUUAGUAAGCGUCUGUUACGAACAUCUCUUAUGUUCUACGCACAGCACCAGCCCCUGAGGACUUAACAGGACACAUAAGAAUAUAAUUCCUAUCUUUAUGAGCUUAUGGCCUGUCAAAAAGAGCUGGAAUAAAGAUACUGUUACCAUGGAAUCACCCUCUACUCUCCACAAUGCCAGGCCCUCUGAAUGAGUACACUUACUUCCCAUGUAAAGGUGACUCAAUCAUCUUGUCCCUCCCUAGACUGGGAAGCCAUGCAAAGCAAAAAGGGACCGUGUCUUAUUUAUCUUGAUCCCCAUUCCCAUCCCUAGGACAACCAAAAUGGCCCUUGUUGCCUUUUUGGCUGCAAAACUGGAACCAUGAGAGGCCAGUUAAUGGUUAAAAACCCAAACAGUAUGGCGGACCUGGGUGGAAAUGUUGGCUGGGCCAAUUGGUGGUGGCAAAGCCUGGGCUCUCUUGCUGUCUCUCAGCCUCGGUUUUGCUUAUUUGUGAAACGAAGGCUAGUAAUUCUCCCCCUGUGGGUUUUGUUGAGGCGUAAGUAACUGAGUGUUAUGUCUUGAGCUUGUUUUGCAUUUGUGGCAACACGUGGUAAACAUUUAUAUUAAUAAGAUGGGUCUCUGCCCCCAAACUAAGUGGCUGGUGGGGGAGGCAGAUUUGCACACUGAAGGGUUUCAGGCUCUCUGAGGGCAGGUUCCAGAGUAUACAUUUUUCAUCGAAAAAAGAGCAACGACAUUUAGCUGGGUAGAAGGGGGAUGAGAAGAGGCGUCACAAGUGGAGAUGAUGUCUGAAUUGACUGUCCAGGGAGUGUUACAUGUUCUGCUGCCCGUGGAGUUGAGGGAGAGAGGACAGGGUAUAGUGACGAUGGCAUAACUUCUGGGCACAAAGGGCAGUGUGUGAACAGCCAGGUGGGUGUAAGCGCUUGUAAGUAGCUGGAUGGUGCUUGGGUGGGGGUGGGGGGCAGGUGGCACGCAGUGGGAGGUAAAGCUGGACAGAGUACAGGACCAGCGAGUUCAAAGCAAGUGCAGAGCCUCAGGUGACCUUAUGAGGCGCUGGAAAAGGGGGGGCACUGAUGGGCUUCAGGUUUCAAAGGGAUGUGAAAAGAUAGUCUUGCUUUUGGUGAUUGCUGAGGUGAGAUACAGGAGGGGGCAAGUAAGAUGUCCCCUGUCAUCCAGGGGACAAGUAAGAUGGUGGAAAGCAAGGAUAGGGCAGCAAUGGUAGUGAGGAAGGGGCAGACCAAAGAGCCAUCAAAAAGGAACCCACGGGGCUCAGUAGCUAAACGGAACGUGGGGGUGGAGCGAGAGGGUGAUGAUGUCACAAUGGGUAACGUCACCAAUGCUCCCGGUGCCCCACCCAUGUCAUUCUCAAGAACGCCAUGAAGUCUGGCUGCUGAUAAUGCACUGCUGUGCCCUUUUUUGGAUUUCCACGGGCAUCAGGCCAGCAGGCUAGACUUCAGCUGAACCCACAUCUUUGCAAGGUCUCUUCCUCAGCAUUUUCUCAAUGAAUCACUUCCCUUCUCAGGCCUGGGCAGACAGAUGGACAACGGUGCCCCACUUCAAGCUAGAAGAUGGCAGGCGUGGGGGGAGGGGGUGGGGAAGGAUCAUUCCUGCCAAGCCUAUUAAUGUAAAUUUAGUACAGCAAGAGUAUCUCCUCCCAUGUGAUGUGUUCUUCAGACUCAUGGAGCCUAAAAGAACAAAGUACUAUCUGGAUUAUGCGUACGCUUAUGUUUAGGUCUUGGACAACAUGCUAACUGAUGGUUUUAUCUCUGGCACUUUGAGCAGAUGGAGAAAUGUCCCCAUCACUGCCCAGUCUCUGUGACGCCAGUGCCUGAGUAACAGCGGCCUCCAAGUCCUGGUUUUGCCAUGUGAUGGUUGUUUGACAUUGAGUUGGAUUACCUAGCCUCACUGAGGCUUAUGCUCUCGAUCCCCCGGAUGGAGAAACCCUGGUGUUUAUCUCUUGUGAAAAUUAAAUUAGAUAAUACGUGU